rnacentral:tRNA from 1 species
CAGGACCGGUGGGCCUUGAUCCCACAAUUCAACUAGUUAACAGCUAGUGGCUUCAACCAAUAAGCAUCAAUCCAGAGUAAAAUAGACCUCA